AAAAAAUAAUUUGUAGGAAAUUUUGAGAGUAAAGACUUGAAACAAAAGACCCUGCUCAAACUGAAAGAAGGUUCCUCAGAUGCUACUGGUGGAUGUGAUGGCUCCUCAAAUAGAGGCUCAGGAGGUGUGGAAGAACCAGUCCUCUUGUGUGCAGCAGCUUGGAGGACAUGGCUGUAGUUCCCUUUCUCCAUGAACAGUUGUUGAAAGUGGACUCUGCAGUAGAGGACACCAUCAAGGGCAGCAUAGCUUGAAUGUGUCAGAGGGCACCCUGCAUGAGCACACCUGAAACAAGUCUUGUGGUAGCAUUCUCCUUCCAGUGUUACCUAUUUCAUCAACAAAACCAAAUUUCCAUGCAGAUAUGAGAGAUCACAGACCUUUUCAAGAGGAUAGACUGUUUUAGCGCAUACUGCACAUUUGUCCAGGGUUCCACUGAACAUUGAAGAUAGCUUGCUGGGAGUUCUGUUCUGCUAUUGAUCAUGAUAUAACUUGUAUGUUAGAUGGAGAAUACAAGAAUACGUAAUCAUACAUAGGAAAGUGUAUGGUAGUAUAAUUAAUUGGUAAAGUGUGUGUCAAGAAA
rnacentral:sRNA from 1 species